rnacentral:lncRNA from 1 species
AGAGAUGGCGAUGAUCCAGGGUUGGUUAAGUCAGCAACUCAAUAACCUCAUCAAAAUCCAGACAAGGCAGACUCCCUGUGGCUCAAAAGCUAAAAGCAGAACCAAGAGGCCAUAGCAGAGUGAGGGAGUGAUCAUGCACUCUGUAUCUGUCAAAACUAUUGUAAAACCAGUUUUUCUGCAAUCAAGUCAAAGAACAGUUCCUGAAAACAAUGUCAAAAACAACUACAGCUGGAAAUUCCCCAACUGACCACCAAUAGGUUACCUGGUGCCAGCCAAUUACCUGGAAUCAGCCAACUAAGAGAGACUGGUUAUUUGGGAGAUCAAAGGUUUUCCAAUCAAGACUGUGUUCCUCACUCCCUGACUCCUCUUCUGGCCUGCAAUCUUCAUCUUUAUGAUAUAUAACUCUCCAAUCCCCUCCUUAGAGUGCACUUUUGUUUUGCACUGAAGGCUGUCUCCUCAAUCUGCAGGUUGCUUUUAGAAAAUAAAGUUCUCCUUUUGCC